UUACGGCCAAAUCACGUUGAAACAUUGGUUCCCGUACGAUCACCAAAGUUAAGCGACCUCCAGCCUGCUCAGUACCUAGAUGGAUGAUCACAUCGGAAUACCAGCU